rnacentral:tRNA from 1 species
UAUGCAGUAGCUCAGUGGUAGAGAUCCCGCUUCGUACGCGGGAAGACUUGGGUUCGAUUGCUGGCUGCUUUC